GGAUGCCCCCACUGAGUGGAAGUGAUUGCUGGCGAGGAAAUGGUUUGGCGAUGAGGAUCCUCUUUUGAAUGGCAAAAUGUCAGAAAACAGGAGUAAUUGAGGGUCAGGUUCUUAAUCGGCAAAUCAAAAAGCAAUGAAGGGUCGUCAGUUCUUCGGCAUGGCAGCUGAAAUCAAUGGGUGCAGCUGCUUUGGCCGACUAAAUACUGUAAUAUAAUGUUUAUUAGAUAUAUUACGUUAUAAGACGCAAUAAUGAAAGCAUCAAACAACACUUUGUUCUGGAUCCUAGUUCGAUGCGGUUAAUCACUAAAACCAUAUAUUCAUAACAGUGAGUAGCAAAACAGAAUUUUUUAAUUCUUAUAGCAAAAGGCUUUGGUUUUGCCUUCAUCGGGAGAAAAUUGUGCUGUUUCCAAGGUGGCAGGUUUAGAACUUGCAGAUAGAGGGCUCAAAAGGUCUUUAAUUGCGGAAGGAAAGUGAUGUUGGUACUGUCCUUUAGGUUGAGGCCAUGCGGUGUUAAUGUGUAAAUGUAAAAAUAUUCCCCUUUUUUGCUGACAUUCUGUUGGCAUCCCUAGAGCAAUUACUGAUUAUAAUAGGGACCCAGGAGUUUGCUGCAGGUGAGGCAGAGCAGGUUAAAAAGGACCCAGUGUUCCUGAGACCAGACUGAUGGCGGAAGAGUGUUGCUAAUGUUUAGGCUGAAUUGUUUUCACGUGGGAAUUCCUUGCACCAGGGUCAUUCGCUUGCACGUUGAGGGUGGAGCAACACUUGCGACCAGGUACCCUUUGACUCAGAUGUUGCUUUCAACUGCGUGGGAUUCAGCUGCAGAGAACCGGCGUCUUCCUUGCCACUUAUGAAUUGGGCCGGCAAGUCUAUUUUGAGCCAAUGCGCUGUUUUAAGAUAAAUAGCAUCAAGCAUUUACUUAACUUAAUGGAUGGGUGUUUGACGGCGAGCUGAAAUCUGACUUCCUGAGGGUUUUCUCUGUUCAUUAUCUGCUUAGCAGCUUUACCAGGAAUACCCAAGGAGUUGUCAGUGCAGGUAGGUAGGCAGCCGUCUCUGUAAUAAUAAGUGAUUAAUAGCUGCAUGUUUAUCUAUGUAGUUAAAGCAGCAUUUUCUGUAUUGCUAAACAGACUACUUAUUGUCUGUGUGUGUGCAUGUUUUGUCCAUAGCCCGUAACUGUUUCUAUGUGUGGCAAUGCAGGAGCUAUCAGUUGCAUCAGCUGUAGAUUACUUCACAUCACAAGGAUUAAUGAGCAUAACCUUAAGUUAUGUGUUGCCUGCCUAUGAAUGCAUAACGUCUUAGGGAAAAGAAAAACCAUUCUCUCAAAAAAUAAAGUUAUCCUUCCAGGCUAACUGGGGGUAGGGGGGAACCAGAUGGUACUUUGCAAUCAUAGAAGGGCAUUGUGAUUUAGCGGAGUUGAAGCAAUUCUUCCAGUUCCCUUUUUUUUGCCACCUUCAGUUCGUAAUGCCCCGCCAAAUCAGUUCCAGAGACUUGAGGGUCUAUAGCAGGGAUAGGAGGUGAGUGGAUUUCAGGGGUAAGGGGAAACUGGUCGAACUCACAUCCCCUCAAGUGGGCGUUUCUGCUAGAUUUGCAUCUUUCCAUGCGUACAGGGGUGCCAAUUAGAACCAGCCUAGUGUGAAUGUUAGUUGACUUUAACACAUCAGCUCUGUAGUAUUGUGUGUCUCUGUUUGCAGAGAGGGUCUUGGGUUCAGUCCCUUGGCUUCCAGCCAAAAGGUUCAGGUGACAGGAAAGACUGGAGGGAUCCUACUGCCAGUCGGAACAAAUAAUAUUGUGAUAGCUGGGAAAACCGCCUAACCUGCUAUGAGCACAUUUCUACUAAAAUUGUAGAUAAAACAUUUCUUUGCACCAACUGAGGAGUGUGCUAGGUAUAGGGUUUCAUGGAUCUUUAUCUGAUGAGGAACUUCGUUGCCUCUUGAAAAUUUGCAUAGGAACAUAGGAGGAGCCUGUGUCUAUGUAAAACAUAGUUUUAUAAGGUCCUGAUAUCAAUGUGCCUCUUUGUUGCUGCUAUUCCUGGGUGCUGUUCUCUCUUCUCAGUUCGCCAGCAAAUUGUUCUUUAUUAAGCCUUGCCAUUUCCCAUAAUGUCCAGUAGACCUUACGGUUCAAAGCAGGGUGGGUAGGAAUUCCAGUGUGGAGUCAUGAAAGCAGGCUUCUCUUGAUGGAGGAAUUCAAGGCAGAGGAUGUGGCUGGCCGAGCAAGAUUUGACAUGUUUCGUGCGCAGAGAGAGAGAGAGAGAGGCAGAGAAAUACACGGGAAGAAAUUCCUGUUUUGCAAAGAGACCUUGAUCCAAUAAAAGGCUCUACCUGGCUGUGGAUAAUACGAUUCAGGAGGAAAAAAAAUCACAUUGAGCGUAAAUAGGCUUGUAGCAAGCUGCCCCCUCCCACUUUUCUUUUGAACAGGUGAAGAUGCCCCUUUCUUUCCUUCCUCCUUCAAAAAGGCAUUUUAAAAUGGUUGUAAAAUAAACCAGGGAUAACAUACGGAGCAGGCAUUUUGGAUAUUUAAUUAUAUCACGUCUUAACUCCUGUUCACCUCCCCUCAUUGUAUCUCGCUUGGCUUAUAACUCUGAUGUUCAGGCAAUCUUUUUAGAGACCAAAGUUGCUCUUAUUUUUCUGUUGUAGCAAUCCCUCUUUGCUUGUUGUAUUGAUGUAUUACGGUAUUUUAAUAUUUUGUUGGAAGCCGCCCAGGGUGGCUGAGGAAGCCCUGCCAGAUGGGCGGGGUAUAAAUAAUAAAUUAUUAUUAUUAUUACUUGUUGAAGCUGUGGAGGUCGUAAUGGGAGCUCAGUGGCAGAAGGCCUGCUGUGUCACAAGAAUUCUUCUAAAUGCCACACCUUCUAUAGUUUGCCGUGAAAUUGGGAAGAACUUUAGAGAUUAGGCUCUGACUCACGGUGCUCAUCCUUGGCAGCACCUUUCUUCUGGAACUAGUGUGUAAUACUUGUAAAAAUGGUUGCGUUUUCUUUGGUUGCACCAUCAUUGCAUGUCUUUAGGUGUCGGGCAAAAAUAAAAACCGUAUUUUUCGCUCUAUAGGACGCACCCGACCAUAAGACGCACCUAGUUUUAGAGGGCGAGAACAAGGGGAAGAAAAAAAUCUCUCCCUCUCUGCGGAGCGCCCCUUCAGCGAAGCGGCAGGAGAAACGGAGCCCCUUCCAUUUCUCCUCCCGCUUCGCUGAAGGGGCGCUGCGCAGAGAGGGAAAGCUGCGCAGCGCAUCUCCAGCAAAGCAAAGCCAGGAGAGCAAGAGGGAUCGGUGCGCACCGACCCCUCUCACUCUCCAGGCUUCGCGUUGCUUUCGCUGAAGCCAUGGAGCCUGCAUUCGCUCCAUAGGGCGCACACACAUUUCCCCUUAAUUUUUGGAGGGGGAAAAGUGUGUCUUAUAGAGCGAAAAAUACGUUAAAUCCUCUUUACCCAGGCCUUUGGCUAUUAAGCAAUGGCCUGUUAAAUGUGUGUGCACACCUACAGUGUACAGUUUCCAAAAAGGAAUGUCUAGUUGAGCCAGGCGGCUCAAAGCUCGUAUUUUUCAACAUGGCUUUUUGGUUCCUAAAAUUCGUUCUGAUUGUGCAGAUAAAAUGCCAUGGAUAGAAUUCUGCCAAAUGGGGUGUUAGUGUAUGAAAAGAGGCAAGAUCCAAGGAUCCCCAGGCAUCCACCUCCAGAUGGUGGAGACAUUGGGUGACAUCCUGGCGUUUGGGCAUCUUUACUUGGAUGCAAGUGGCUGAUAGCCAGGUGCAAAUUUCAGCUGGUUUGGGCAGACGGACUGUUAGUAAGAUCAUUUCAUCAUUAAACUGUCCAUUAUUAUGCUUUGUGUUACUUUUUUUUAAAUGUUCCUUAAAGAUAUGUUCUUGAAAGGGACACGGGUGGCGCUGUGGGUUAAACCACAGAGCCUAGGACUUGCCGA
rnacentral:lncRNA from 1 species